rnacentral:rRNA from 1 species
CCUACGGGGGGCUGCAGUGAGGAAUAUUGGGCAAUGGACGAGAGUCUGAACCAGCCAAGUAGCGUGAAGGAUGAAGGCCCUAUGGGUUGUAAACUUCUUUUAUAUGGGAAUAAAAUGUUACACGUGGGGGAUUUUGUAUGUACCAUAUGAAUAAGGAUCGGCUAACUCCGUGCCAGCAGCCGCGGUCAUACGGAGGAUCCGAGCGUUAUCCGGAUUUAUUGGGGUUAAAGGGAGCGUAGGUGGAUUGUGAAGUCAGUUGUGAAAGUUUGCGGCUCAACCGUAAAAUUGCAGUUGAAACUGGCAGUCUUGCGUACAGUAGAGGUGGGCGGCAUUCGUGGUGUAGCGGUGAUAUGCU